GAUGAACGCUGGCGGCGUGCCUAAUACAUGCAAGUCGAGCGAACGGACGAGAAGCUUGCUCUUCUGAUGUUAGCGGCGGACGGGUGAGUAACACGUGGAUAACCUACCUAUAAGACUGGGAUAACUUCGGGAAACCGGAGCUAAUACCGGAUAAUAUUUUGAACCGCAUGGUUCAAAAGUGAAAGACGGUCUUGCUGUCACUUAUAGAUGGAUCCGCGCUGCAUUAGCUAGUUGGUAAGGUAACGGCUUACCAAGGCAACGAUGCAUAGCCGACCUGAGAGGGUGAUCGGCCACACUGGAACUGAGACACGGUCCAGACUCCUACGGGAGGCAGCAGUAGGGAAUCUUCCGCAAUGGGCGAAAGCCUGACGGAGCAACGCCGCGUGAGUGAUGAAGGUCUUCGGAUCGUAAAACUCUGUUAUUAGGGAAGAACAUAUGUGUAAGUAACUGUGCACGUCUUGACGGUACCUAAUCAGAAAGCCACGGCUAACUACGUG
rnacentral:rRNA from 1 species